CUAUAAGGGACCGAUGAAAUUAUGCUCCGUCCACCCUGAUCUGCGUCCCCCGCUGAGAGUCUCGGCAUGCAGUGCACCCACAGAUUUGUACCCAAAAUUUCCACUCUGUACAAAUCGACGACUCAAAAUACUUCUAGCAGAUCUACAACUCCAUCCAACGGAUCGGAAUCGUCUGCUUCAACGCGUUGAAGCGCCCACGCCCGCCCCGUCGUCCGCGCGGCUCCAAUUCCGAAUCCCCCCACCCUCCGUCCGCCUCGGUUCGAAACGACGCCCACCAAACUCGCGAGAGAAAAAAAAGGCCCGCUUCCUCCGUCUCCGCCUCCGUCGGCUGGGCACACCGCCGCCGCCUCCGCCUCUGCCGGCUGGGCACACCGCCGCCGCCUCCGCCUCUGCCGGCUGGGCACACCGCCGCCGCCUCCUCCUCUGCCGGCCGGGCGCGCCGCCGGCGCCUCCUCCUCCGCCGGCGCCUCCCCCAUCCCUCCGCCCUCCCCCGCCCCUAUCUCUGCACCGCGCGCUGCCGCAGUCGCUGCCGCAGAUCCGGCCACCGCCGCUGCGCCUCCCUGCCUCCCAACGACCACCGGAGUUCCACGUGCCGACGGGAUGCGCAGCGUCAGGCCCCGACACGCCAAACCCUAGAUCUGCGUGGGCGCAACGGCGACAGCGGCAACGCGAAACACAGGGCGACAGGCCGACGGCGUGGAGCAAGCGACGAGGCAGGGCGACGGCGCGGAUCUCGACGGCCCCGGCUGGCGGCGAGCUCGGCUCGCCUCCGGUGCGGCCCGCACCUCCAUCCUCCCUCCUCCCAGUCCCAGGCCGUGAACGAGCCGGCCGCCGCACCCGCGAUCUGGGACCUACUCCCAGUCCCAGGCAUCCUCCUUCGAUGCGUCCGGUGGAAGACGGUGCCACCGAUUCGGAUCUUGCUGCCCCUGCCCAUCUACACUGCGCUCCGAGAGCUCAAAAUCUAUUAAAUCUGAACCUGUUGCUGGUCCUCAAUCAAGGUGUGGCUCUCUGCCAGCUGCCAUGCUGUUGUUGCUGCUCUCUACUUGCCGACACAACCAAGGUGAGUUUGGAAAAUACAGAAUGUAUUUCCAGGUAGCAAAAGAAGGAACCGAAUUACAGUUACCAUGUAGUAUUUCAAUAUCACUGCAUCAGCCAUUCUAUUCUCAAUCAAUCUGAACUUCAGCAUUACUUGUAUGGGAUCCGCCGAUUAUUGUGUGACCAGAGCUUACAGUCGUAUGAACAGAGCUAUAUGUUGAUUUCAGGCUUGCUUCAUCAAACUGAAAGAUGCUGCGUGAGAUACUGACAUUUAUUUGUGCUGUUGUUGAUACUGACAACAAAAUUCAUACCAAGCAAAAAAUAACUAAAAAUAUUUGGAUUGCAUUUCGUAGGAAUUUUCUGGUGGAUAUCACCCUAAACUUUGUGAUUCAGAAUAAUCCCAUGUGCUGUUGCUGAGUAUAUCAAGUGGGACCUGGGUCCAGGGCUCAAUCUCAGUGAGGCAUUUAGAGCGUUCUUCUGGAGCGCAUGUCUUGGGUUGGCAUUUAGCAAAAAGCUGGAAGCUUUGCUUUCUUUAAGCCUAGAUUUACUUAGCAUAUACUAUGUAUCUUUACUCAAUGUGUAUGAGCCUGUGUUUUUUUGUUGCUUGUUUUUGUCACUAGAACUGGAAUCUCAACGUGUCACUCUUAUAUUCUUGCUGAAUUCUGUUGCAUCUCAUGGAACAAGCAAGUCUUGAUGGACCUUGGCGUCAUGUUUAUUGAAACCAGUGCUAAAGCUGGAUGUAACAUUAAGAUAUGCUUCAGAAUAUAAACUGCUUACAUGUCUCCUUUCAGAGUAGUGUGUUUUUGUUUAGGAAGGCCUUUAUUUUUCUGCCAGUCACUGACCAUCACAAACUUGUGAGCAUGUGCUGUUCUGUAAAAUUGCUGCUGCACUUCUGGAAUGGAGACACUCUCAUCAGCGAAGCAGGAAGGCAUGGUUGAUGUGAACUUGAGGUCCGGCAAUGCAAACUCGUCCCAUUCUCAGAUUUGGAAUUUGCAAACAGCGGAAGAAAUAUGUUCACAAAGUGGUUUCUCUGAAUUUUUGUUGAAUUUGCGGAAACAUGUUGAUUUUACUAGCUGCCUGUGGAAUGUAGAGUACUCCAAGUGCCAUGGUAAGUUGGUGAGGCACAAGGUGGAGAAGAAAUAUGUGCUCAAGAAGAUACGAGUUGUGCAACCAACGGACCGAUAUGAGUUGUGUGGAAAUGUUCUUGCAGAUGCAGCUUAUUGCGACAGUCAGGAAUCCAUUUAUCGUGGAGUACAAAGAUUCGUGGGUGAAAAAGGUAGCCAGAGGGUCAAAACAAAGUUAUUAAAUGAGGCUUCUGGUGCAGAAAAUUCUGAUGAAACAUGUGAAAGUUUUGCUUUUGCAUUAGUCAAUGGUGCUCUUGGUGUGUUUGAAGUUCAUGGGUGCCGGAUACGAGAUUUUAUGUAUUUCAAUUGCUGUCUUUGUAGCUUUCAACUAUUAAAGUAUAAUCAAAUGCAGAAUUGGUGAAUUUAUCAACAUAUCCCAUUGACAUCUAAAUUGAAAUGCAAGCUUCUGCAUAUUUCUUC